rnacentral:sRNA from 2 species
ACUCAACAGGAAUUAAUUCUGAAGGAUGAGUCAUAAUUGUUAAAGCAAGCCGUCUUGAACGGAUCCUUGAUCAGUUAGUUAAUCCUAUAUAUGUAUAAAUUGGAGUUU